UUCUGUGUGGAGCAAUUUGUGGGAAGAAUAAAACAAAUCAUCCCUGAUCCAAAAACUCUGCUUCUACCUGCUGGCUCACAUCUGAAAUACUCCUCCCUGAGAGUGUCAUUUUAUGACUUUAAUCCCUACUAUGCUGAAAAUAACCCAGAAAGAACGCAGGAGUCAGAGAUUUUACCCUACUUGCAAACUAAAAAGUGAGCCUGCUACAGUUUCAUGGGUGUUGACAGAAGACACAAGAAGACAAAAAGCUUUACUCCUGACAGCAAGAGCAGUGGCCGAGUGUCAGCAUAUUCUUCACUGGUUUGCCAGCCCCCAAUCCCCAUGUUCCCA
rnacentral:lncRNA from 1 species